CCCUCCUGGGAGCGCAUGCGGAU
rnacentral:piRNA from 1 species